UAUUAUUAUUAUUAUUAUUAUUAUUAUUAUUCAGACAGUGCAUUUCCCUAGACGAGACGUAUGCAGACGAGACGGGAGAGAUCUCUUAGUCAUAUUGUUGAAAUAUUAAUCUCUUCCUCCGCCAGGCACUUAGCGGGAUUAAAUGCCGGGUGCGGACGCUGCAUUAACAUGCCAAGGAAGAGACAAAUGCGUUGGCCGGACUCCCAUUUCUCCCGACAAAGGACUGGAAGAUGAUCGGACUGCAAAUGAAUGAAUGUCCGAACGUCCUCCAAAAGGCCCAAGGAUAGCUUUGACGGCGUCGUGAGUGAACCAGACAUCCUGAGGUUUAAUGGGCCUUAAAAAGCAUUGCUAAUAACAAGGCAAUAGGAGACAGAGAGGAGAUGCUGCCGAGGAUGCAGGAGAUCGAAGUAAAUAUCGGGGAUAGCUUUGGCGGUGUGGGGAGUGAACGAGAACCGGACAUCCUGAGGUUUAAUGGGCCUUAAGAAGCAUUGCUAAUAACACGGCAGUAGGAGACGGAGAGGAGAUGCUGCCGAGGAUGCAGGAGAUCGAAGUAAAUAUCGGGGAUAGCUUUGACGGUGUGGGGAGUGAAUUGGAAC